rnacentral:tRNA from 1 species
UCUCAGGUGACUGAGUUAUAAGUGUUAGACUUUUAAUCUAAAAACGGCACUACCUGUCUGCCCCUGGGAA